AUUGAACGCUGGCGGCAUGCCUUACACAUGCAAGUCGAACGGCAGCACGGGAGCAAUCCUGGUGGCGAGUGGCGAACGGGUGAGUAAUAUAUCGGAACGUGCCCAGUCGUGGGGGAUAACGUAGCGAAAGCUACGCUAAUACCGCAUACGAUCUAUGGAUGAAAGAGGGGGAUCGCAAGACCUCGCGCGAUUGGAGCGGCCGAUAUCAGAUUAGGUAGUUGGUGAGGUAAAGGCUCACCAAGCCGACGAUCUGUAGCAGGUCUGAGAGGACGACCAGCCACACUGGGACUGAGACACGGCCCAGACUCCUCCGGGAGGCAGCAGUGGGGAAUUUUGGGCAAUGGGCGCAAUCCUGAUCCAGCAAUGCCGCGUGCAGGAUGAAGGCCUUCGGGUUGUAAACUGCUUUUGUACGGAACGAAACGGCGAGCUCUAAUACAGUUUGCUAAUGACGGUACCGUAAGAAUAAGCACCGGCUAACUACGCGCCAGCCGCCGCGGUAA
rnacentral:rRNA from 1 species